GUUCCCCUGAGGAGUGGCUUCCGGAGCUAACGCGUUAAGUCGACCGCCUGGGGAGUACGGCCGCAAGGUUAAAACUCAAAUGAAUUGACGGGGGCCCGCACAAGCGGUGGAGCAUGUGGUUUAAUUCGAUGCAACGCGAAGAACCUUACCUGGCCUUGACAUCCAGAGAACUUAGCAGAGAUGCUUUGGUGCCUUCGGGAGCUCUGAGACAGGUGCUGCAUGGCUGUCGCCAGCUCGUGUUGUGAAAUGUUGGGUUAAGUCCCGCAACGAGCGCAACCCUUAUCCUUUGUUGCCAGCGGGUGAUGCCGGGAACUCAAAGGAGACUGCCGGUGAUAAACCGGAGGAAGGUGGGGAUGACGUCAAGUCAUCAUGGCCCUUACGGCCAGGGCUACACACGUGCUACAAUGGCGCAUACAAAGAAAAGCGACCUCGCGAGAGCAAGCGGACCUCAUAAAGUGCGUCGUAGUCCGGAUCGGAGUCUGCAACUCGACUCCGUGAAGUCGGAAUCGCUAGUAAUCGUAGAUCAGAAUGCUACGGUGAAUACGUUCCCGGGCCUUGUACACACCGCCCGUCACACCAUGGGAGUGGGUUGCAAAAGAAG
rnacentral:rRNA from 1 species